rnacentral:rRNA from 1 species
UCAUCUCCGGGGGUAGAGCACUGUUUCGGCUAGGGGGCCAUCCCGGCUUACCAACCCGAUGCAAACUGCGAAUACCGGAGAAUGUUAUCACGGGAGACACACGGCGGGUGCUAACGUCCGUCGUGAAGAGGGAAACAACCCAGACCGCCAGCUAAGGUCCCAAAGUCAUGGUUAAGUGGGAAACGAUGUGGGAAGGCCCAGACAGCCAGGAUGUUGGCUUAGAAGCAGCCAUCAUUUAAAGAAAGCGUAAUAGCUCACUGGUCGAGUCGGCCUGCGCGGAAGAUGUAACGGGGCUAAACCAUGCACCGAAGCUGCGGCAGCGACGCUCAGGCGUUGUUGGGUAGGGGAGCGUUCUGUAAGCCUGUGAAGGUGGCCUGUGAGGGUUGCUGGAGGUAUCAGAAGUGCGAAUGCUGACAUAAGUAACGAUAAAGCGGGUGAAAAGCCCGCUCGCCGGAAGACCAAGGGUUCCUGUCCAACGUUAAUCGGGGCAGGGUGAGUCGACCCCUAAGGCGAGGCCGAAAGGCGUAGUCGAUGGGAAACGGGUUAAUAUUCCCGUACUUGGUGUUACUGCGAAGGGGGGACGGAGAAGGCUAUGUUGGCCGGGCGACGGUUGUCCCGGUUUAAGCGUGUAGGUGUGUGUUCCAGGUAAAUCCGGUUCACUUUAACACUGAGGCGUGACGACGAGGCACUACGGUGCUGAAGCAACAAAUGCCCUGCUUCCAGGAAAAGCCUCUAAGCAUCAGGUAACAUCAAAUCGUACCCCAAACCGACACAGGUGGUCAGGUAGAGAAUACCAAGGCGCUUGAGAGAACUCGGGUGAAGGAACUAGGCAAAAUGGUGCCGUAACUUCGGGAGAAGGCACGCUGACACGUAGGUGAAGUGAUUUACUCAUGGAGCUGAAGUCAGUCGAAGAUACCAGCUGGCUGCAACUGUUUAUUAAAAACACAGCACUGUGCAAACACGAAAGUGGACGUAUACGGUGUGACGCCUGCCCGGUGCCGGAAGGUUAAUUGAUGGGGUCAGCGCAAGCGAAGCUCCUGAUCGAAGCCCCGGUAAACGGCGGCCGUAACUAUAACGGUCCUAAGGUAGCGAAAUUCCUUGUCGGGUAAGUUCCGACCUGCACGAAUGGCGUAAUGAUGGCCAGGCUGUCUCCACCCGAGACUCAGUGAAAUUGAACUCGCUGUGAAGAUGCAGUGUACCCGCGGCAAGACGGAAAGACCCCGUGAACCUUUACUAUAGCUUGACACUGAACAUUGAGCCUUGAUGUGUAGGAUAGGUGGGAGGCUUUGAAGCGUGGACGCCAGUCUGCGUGGAGCCGACCUUGAAAUACCACCCUUUAAUGUUUGAUGUUCUAACGUGGACCCGUUACCCGGGUUGCGGACAGUGUCUGGUGGGUAGUUUGACUGGGGCGGUCUCCUCCUAAAGAGUAACGGAGGAGCACGAAGGUUGGCUAAUCCUGGUCGGACAUCAGGAGGUUAGUGCAAUGGCAUAAGCCAGCUUGACUGCGAGCGUGACGGCGCGAGCAGGUGCGAAAGCAGGUCAUAGUGAUCCGGUGGUUCUGAAUGGAAGGGCCAUCGCUCAACGGAUAAAAGGUACUCCGGGGAUAACAGGCUGAUACCGCCCAAGAGUUCAUAUCGACGGCGGUGUUUGGCACCUCGAUGUCGGCUCAUCACAUCCUGGGGCUGAAGUAGGUCCCAAGGGUAUGGCUGUUCGCCAUUUAAAGUGGUACGCGAGCUGGGUUUAGAACGUCGUGAGACAGUUCGGUCCCUAUCUGCCGUGGGCGCUGGAGAACUGAGGGGGGCUGCUCCUAGUACGAGAGGACCGGAGUGGACGCAUCACUGGUGUUCGGGUUGUCAUGCCAAUGGCACUGCCCGGUAGCUAAAUGCGGAAGAGAUAAGUGCUGAAAGCAUCUAAGCACGAAACUUGCCCCGA